CCUAUAUGGCAUAGCGUUGCAGUUUUGCAACAAUACUUUAGGAGUAAUCAAGUACUGUAUUAUUUAAUAUUUUGUUUCGUUUUCAACUUAUUUUACUCCGGAUAGCACUUUUUAUUACAUUUUAUACCGGAACUCUUUUGAAAAGAAGAUUUUUCUUUUUCAAAUCGGACAUUUUUAGAAGCGAUCUACACUUUUCUGCUUUUUGCUAAAUGGCUUUCACAUAUUCAUAACCAUGGAUCCAAGAGUCUAAUUUGAAAGUCUUCUACCAGUUUAUUCUGAGCUACUCCUUUUGGCUCAAAAGAUAGUGAGUUGUCCAAUGAUGAAAUAGAGAACGUAAACAGUACCCGGGUCCUAUCGGAUGUUGGUGCUGAAGAUUUGUCUGACGUAGUUGAAGAGUAUGCCCAUUUGCGAAAAAUGAUGAAACUCCUCAGGACCUUCUCAAUUGUCUACACCAAGGUCUUCAUUAGCAACAACAGAAUGAUCAGUUCCAGUAUACAGCAAAUGUUCCACCAUUUCCUGAUCCUAGGAGAGAAGCCAAACAUCAGAGGCGGCCAUUGGAUUAUUUCAACGACAUCUUUAUAGAUAAUCUGUGUUCGGACAGUUGUGUAUCAAUCCAACCUGUA